CUAAAGUGAAAGAAAAAUCCCUCCGACCGUCGCGGGAGCCUGCUGCGUCAGAGUUGAGGAUAAAAAGGAGGCCGAUCCACAAGUAAUGGCUGCGGUCGCCCAGACUGAGGAGAUUUUAAAGAGAUGAACUCCAACUACAGGCCCCUCUGGACCUUAGU